AGUACCUUCGUCUGCAACCAGUUACAUGGAAGCAAAACGUGAAGACCGGUCACGUUAGCCGGCCCGCCACCACUGUCCCGGUGAUGUGGGGGGCGUCCCCCUCGGCUGUUUUUGCAGCGACCUCCCGCGUCAGAGACUAACGUUUAGAGGCGAGAGGGCAAGGGCUAACCCAAGUGGGUAAAGCAGAGUAGUCCGGAAUCGAACCGCCGCAGUAUGGAAGCAAACAUUUCCCCCACUUUAGCCACUGGGCUGCGCCCCUGAGGACUGCAACCAGUUACAUCAUGAAGAUGCUCUUCUCAUGUCCUCCAAUUUUCAGCCACACCCCAAUUUUCAGCCACACGGUCUCUGCUCUUCUUUUCAAAUUCACUUUCUCAUCUAAAUUUGUAACCCUAAUUCAAUUUCUUUACCUCAAAUCUCAACAAAAAAAACCCUAAAUUCCGAAAUUAUUCAUCAAAAUCCAACCUUCUGACUUUCUUAUGUUUAAGUUCAUCCUUAUUUCGACCGAUUCGCAGUGUAUCCAGCUUGAAUAUCAUCGAUUAAUGUUUAAACAAAGAAUUAAGGUGUUCGAUUGUUUGAAUCUUGAAAGUUUGGAUUUUUUUAUACUGAAAUUGAUGGAAAUCGCUGCUACAGCGAAGUCGGAUUCAGCAAUUUGUAUUCAGCUGUGCGCGAUGAGAAUGGGAAUGGGAAUGUGAAGCUUGAUUGUCCAGCUAUUGGGAAACAGUUUUCUGCUGAAUAAAUUUCAGCACAGGUAUAUGUUAUUAUUUACAAGUAGUUGAUAACUAAUUAGAUUAGAAUGUUAAAUUUCAGCACAGGAAAUAGUUUGCUGCUGAAGAAAAGUCAUCGAGAUGAUCAUCUCAACUAAUGUUUCUAGAAGCAUACACUUUUCUGCAAAGGGUCACCAAUUACAUCCUCAAGUUGUCAGAUUCAUACAUUGUUAGGAGAGGUCUCCCAUGGUGAACCCCAAAAGGAAGAAGCGUUGACUUUAUGGUGCUGGUACAACCACCAGUGGGGAAAGACCAAUUGCUUACCAGUUAGUCUGUCAAUGUUUUCAAGUGCACAUUAAUAAGAAACAAGUUGGAACAAAGACUGACUCGUCUAAAACAGUUUAAUUUGGUGAUUCUUGACUUUAUGCUCACCAUUAGUGCGAUCUCAACAUAAUUCAUAAUACUUGGAUUGUUUAAUUAUUAUGUCUAGCAUUCGGAACUGAAAAUAGUAAUUAAAUGUACAAUCUUCUCUUAGAAUAAGAAGUUUAAUGCCCGAAAAAUGUCCAACUUGAUCAUCUGCUUAUUUCACGGUUGAUUUUGUAUAGGGCCUAAGUUGUUGUGACAAUGUUUCCAUAAUCUAAGUUUGGUAUAUGCAUGAAUUUCCCAUUACUAAAAGGCCAAAACUUGCAGUUGUGGGCAGCGGCCCCGCGGAUUUGUUUGCGUCUAUUGUACUUGCAGAAUUUGGCGAUGAUGUUACUUUGAUGGAAAGAGGGAACCCAUAGAGAAACAUGGGCGUGAUAUUGGUGCUUUGGUGAUCAGAAAAAUACUACAAUCAGAAAGCGACUUUUGUUUUGGCGAGGGUGGAGGAGGUACUUGGAGUGAUGGAAAGUUGGUAACUAGAAUCGGGAAGAACAACGGAAGUGUUUUUUUGUUAGUGCUCCUUCUCCAUUUUAGCAACGAAUGUUUGUCUUUGCUUUUCUUAAGCAAAGUGGGUUGGGUAACCAGUCUAGGGAUGAGCUCGGUAGCAACGGUUGGUACCGAAAAUGUCCAAAAACGGGUACCGGUACCAAAAAAAACCCGGUACGGUACGGUUUGGUACCGACAUUUGAAGGUAAAAACGGUACCGAAAACAUCAAAAGUUGGUACCGAAUCGGUACUGAAAAUAUUUCGGUUCGGUAAAUUCGGCUAGCGAGCCUAAACGAGCCCAAACAAAAUUUUAUUUUUCUAUAUAUAAUAUUAUAAUAAUAAUGAUGAUAACAUUAGCGAGCUGAACUCGAGCCGAUCUUUAGCUCGUUUGAAGUUGUUCUCAAAAUAGCUCGAGCCGAGCUCGAGCUUUUGGUUUUACUCGCGAGCCGAGCAUGAGCUUCAGAAAAACAUGACGAGCCGAGUUCGAGGCCAGUCGAGCUCGGGCUCGACCCGACUCGUUUACAUCCCUAGCUCAAAGGCCCAAUACAUUGCAGCAGCUCAUGGGAGUGUCAAUGUGAAUAGAUAUAACGUAGCAAACAGAUAUAUGUUUUUACAUUUCCUGUUCGGUUGGUCCACAUCGCGUACAUUAUUUCACUGCAAUAAACAUCUAAGCAUAAUCAAUAUGAGUAAAUUAGGGAGGGAUUGACGAACACUGUGACUGUGUGUCCAACAAAAGUGUAGAGCAUAGUAAAGUACAACACGAGCUCUAUAGGACCACCAUUAACCACACCUUGAUUCUUGCCAUGGACCAAGGCUGUAAUGGAUAGGUACCAGGUAGUGUAGUGGUGUAGAUGGUCGAAAAGAUCAAAUAUAUAUGCCCAUAUAUUCGGUAGUUAUGUAGUAUUCGCUCUGGUCCCAAAUUGCUUGGGUUGGCCUUGCUGGUUUGUAUUCUAUAAUCAUGACUGCAUAUAUAUUUUAUGGUUAAACCUCUACUGACAUUAUAUUCAGCUUGCUAGAAUUAUUGCAGUUGAGGACACAUUGAGGUCCCAUUAUUAAGUUUGUACCCGGAACUCUAGGGGUGCAAACGAGCCGAGCACCUCGCGAGCUACUCAAGCUCGGCUAGAAAAAAGCUUGAACGCGCCAAGCUUAAACGAGCUUGAGUCCGAGCCCAAGCCUAAAAAACAAGCUGGUUUAGUAAACUACUAAACGAGCCCGAGCUUUGCUUAUCGAGCUUGAGCUGGCUCGCGAGCCUAUUGUUUAUAUAAGAUUUUAUUACUGUAUGAAAUAUAUAUUUAAAUAAUAAUACUAAGAAAAUUAUGAAAAAAUAACUAAAUUAUAUAUAAAAUAAUAACUAUAAUUUAUAUAAAUUAACAAACAAAUAGAAAAUGAGCCGAGCUCGAGCUCUCAUAAGUUAAACGAGCUCGAGCUUGAGCUUAGUCGGGCUCGUCUCAUUUGCACCCCGGCCAGAAGGAAGGCAUAUAAAACAGUAUUUUAGUACGCAUAUUCUUAUAAGUUUGUACUUAUGAUUUAAUGUAUUAUCAACAGCAUUCAAAUGUGUCACCUAAUGAAGACGUCUUCUUGAGAAGAGCUAUGCCGACCCAAAUUACAAAAAAAAAAGAGGUUUGUCGAAAUGAGCGAAACAGAGUAUACAAACAUAUAUGGUAGUGCCAUGUGACCAGGAGCACCUCAACGUGUCCUGAAAAUGCCUUUCUUCUUGGAAUGGAGAAAUCUAGCAAAUCAUGAAAACGAGGCUAACUAACCAAUUAUUAAAGUUCAACGAUACAUGGAAUGCUCAACAUGGUGAUGUAUGCAGGCGAAAGUCAAUAUAUGGGUUAUGAAUUACGAAGAUCUUAAAUUUGUUAUCAUAUAUUGGGAGUUAUAUUCAAAAGUCAAAUGUUGGAUAAAGUCAAAAGAAUAUAAAGUCAAAUGCCCUUGAUAUUUAGAGUCAACAUCUUGGAGCAGAUCAAUAUGGGAAUACACUUCACAUUGAUAUCUGAAAACAGUUGUAAUAUGCAUUUAAAGUGAAAUUGAAUGUUUCUAGCAUGAAAGUUAUUAAAAGAGGCAAAAGUCAAAUGAUGUCAAAA